AUUUCAAGCCCGCACACUUAGUGCCAAUCUCACAACCGUGAACACUUAUUGCCUGCACACUUAGUGCCAAUCUCACAACCGUGAACACUUAUUGACCGCACACUUAGUGCUGAAAACCAACCACUCUAUACGCUUCACUGCCUUUUUACAUUCGACAAUUUCGUCUCUACAUACAUAUACACAUAUAGCAAUACACAUUAGUAUAUCAUUUACAUUACUUGAAUACAAACACAACAUGCUUAUCGACCAUUCAACUUCC
rnacentral:lncRNA from 1 species